UUGUUUGGAGAGUUUGAUCCUGGCUCAGGACGAACGCUGGCGGCGUGCUUAACACAUGCAAGUCGAACGGAAAGGCCCUUCGGGGUACUCGAGUGGCGAACGGGUGAGUAACACGUGGGUGAUCUGCCCUGCACUUUGGGAUAAGCCUGGGAAACUGGGUCUAAUACCGAAUAUGACCACGCGCUUCAUGGUGUGUGGUGGAAAGCUUUUGCGGUGUGGGAUGGGCCCGCGGCCUAUCAGCUUG
rnacentral:rRNA from 1 species